UACGAAGGGGGCGAGCGUUGUUCGGAAUUACUGGGCGUAAAGGGCGCGUAGGCGGUCCUGAUCGUCGGAUGUGAAAGGCCUGGGCUCAACCUGGGAACUGCAUCCGAUACGGCGGGACUGGAGUGUGGGAGAGGUUGGUGGAAUUCCCAGUGUAGAGGUGAAAUUCGUAGAUAUUGGGAAGAACACCGGUGGCGAAGGCGGCCAACUGGACCACAACUGACGCUGAGGCGCGAAAGCGUGGGGAGCAAACAGG
rnacentral:rRNA from 1 species